UACGUAGGGUGCAAGCGUUAAUCGGAAUUACUGGGCGUAAAGCGUGCGCAGGCGGUCUGUUAAGACCGAUGUGAAAUCCCCGGGCUUAACCUGGGAACUGCAUUGGUGACUGGCAGGCUUUGAGUGUGGCAGAGGGAGGUAGAAUUCCACGUGUAGCAGUGAAAUGCGUAGAGAUGUGGAGGAAUACCGAUGGCGAAGGCAGCCUCCUGGGCCAACACUGACGCUCAUGCACGAAAGCGUGGGGAUCAAACAGG
rnacentral:rRNA from 1 species